UGUAAAACAGGUCCUCUGGUAAACAUUCUUCACGUGGAGGGAAGGAGGACGAGGAGGGGCUCGCUAACAGUCUCUAGGACAAGGCUGUAGGAAAUGAGCUAAAAUUACAGUCUGUGCGGGUUCCGGGGGAGGGAGGGAUUAUGGAGGCUGCCUCUCGGAGAACCAUCAGGCCAACAUCUGCUCCAGCAAAGAGGCAGUUAGCAGCCCUUGAAGAAAACUCAUUUUUGCUCUAUUGUGAUUGAGUCUUCCAGACAAAUCUGUUUUGUAACUGAAAGCUGGUAAAUUAAAGCUGGCUGUGGAUGAAGCCAUUGAAAGCUGCUGACCCCAAACAAUUUUGCUCUAAAGAAACAAAACAGAACACUUAAAUUGAUGAGAGCAGAGCAGCUCUCAGAAAGCAGCUCUCAGAGAGGUCUGACGAGAGGGAGAGCUGGGCAGGAGAGCCCAGCCCCGAGCAGGCCACCACGCAUGCACGUGUCCAGGAGCUGUGACCCAGACCCGCGUCCCAGGACAGACUGGAGGUGGAGGCAGAAAUGAGUGCUCACGUACACCUCCUCUAAGGAUGAGAGCAGGGGUUGAUGGGAAGUAGGCCACAGAACAGACCCCCAACUGGACACAACUGAGGCAGCCAGACUCAACCUCCAGGCCCUGCCCCUGAACUGGUUUUGCUUCUGAAAUCAUGUGGAGAAGAAAGUUAGACAAGUGGGGCCAUGUAAGGGCCUGACCUGGACUGAACUUUGAGAUCUCCCAGGAUGUAGUGGACCCCUGGCAAAGACACAGAUGAGGAAGCUGAGGGUCUGACAGGAUAAGCCGAGACUUCUUUGAGUAUGGAUUCUAGAAGCAUCAGAAGCCUAAAUUCACCAGACUCCUUUCAGCGUCCGUAAACUGGAUAGAUUCCCAUUGUGAGGCAACCACCAAGAGCCUGAAAACGUAGUACCGGCUGGCGGAGGGUUACAUUGUACAGCGAGCAAAGGGAGUCAAAUCAAGGAAGGAGAGCUAACGGACUUCACUUGUGCCAGGCACCGUGGCUCUUUGUAUGUCUUCCCUCAUUUAAACCUCACAAGGGUCUUCUGAGCUGUGCUUGGCAUUUGCUACGCGGAGGUUGGCGUGGGGAGGCGCACCGUGGAGACACUGAGACCAGAUGCCUGAAUUUAACAGGUCUAUGGCUCAUUUGAGGCGAACGAGGACAAGUCGCAACAAACAAAACAAGGCAAGAGAGAGCGAGAGCGGCUGGGGAAGCAGCCACCAACUCUCCAGAUGAAAGCUGCUUCAGAGGGAGGUAUCUGAUGCACAACUCUUCGCAAGCGGGUGGUCAGAGGGUUACCUGCAGAAAACCCCUUGGAAAACUGAGUUGCUGUGCAUGUGCAGAUUUCCCCAUGGGGCCCUUUUAGCGGCAUUCUUUUCCUGUACAGAAGUCACAA